GGCGUUCUUCUUCUUGCUCUCGGGGAGGGAUAAUUAAUAUCUUUUUUGUUCCGCCGGCGCAGGCUCGCCUCUCGUCGACCGACACCGACCAAGCCCGGCCGGCCGGCCAUGGUGGUGCGGGGCCAGCAAGAUCUGGACGCCAACAUCGUCCGCUGGGGCCUCCACCACCUCCUCGACGCCGGCGGCGGCUGCGUGCACCGCCCUCAAUCCCCCACCACCGACUACGCCCCGCCGCCGCCGCAGCCGCAGCGCGCCCGCGCCCUUCUCGACGGCUACGACAUGGCCCCCGCCCCCGCCCCCGCCUCCGAUGUCAGGGUCGACGCGGUCGAGAACGACGAGGUCAUCGCGCACGCGCUGCAGGAGGAGCUCGCGCAGGUCGCCAUGGCCGAGGCGUCCGGGGCCGACGGCGGCGAGGCCGAGCGCCGCGCCACCGUCCUCGCGCAGCAGUGGUUCCGCCCCGAGGUCGUCAGCCAUCUGCCCUCAGCUCCACCUUAUGUAGAAGAAGCAGAGAGCUCCAGUCCACGUUCGAGCCCCGAAGAAGAUCGCAAUGCGCGUGAUGGCCACGGCUGCUCCAUAGAGCUUGUCGACGAUUUCUCUGCUCUCGACGGCGAAGUCGGCAAAAGACUGAAUGACAUGGUUCCUGUCCCUCAUGUCCCUAAAACAAAUGGAGACAUUCCUUCUUUUGAUGAAGCCUUUUCAGAUCACCGAAGACUUCUUGACAGGUUGGUGCUGUAUGGCCUGGUUGAGCUCAAGGUUAACGGAGAUGGCAAUUGUCAGUUUCGGGCAUUGUCCGAUCAAUUCUACCGAACUCCCGAACACCAUAGAUUUGUGCGGCAACAGGUGGUCAAUCAGCUUGAGUCUCAUCCCGAGAUAUAUGCUGGAUAUGUCCCUAUGGAUUACAGAGAAUAUCUUAAGAAGAUGCCAAAGAUCGGAGAGUGGGGUGACCAUGUUACACUGCAGGCUGCUGCAGACUUGUAUGGUGUAAAGAUUUUCAUUCUGACAUCAUUCAGAGAUACAUGCUACAUCGAGAUUCUCCCAGUCGUCCAAAAAUCAAAUAGAGUUAUAUGUUUGAGUUUUUGGGCCGAGGUGCACUACAACUCGAUAUAUCCGGAAGGAGAGUUGCCCGUCGUGGAGAACAGAAAGAAGAGCUUGUCGGAUCGACGGUCGUUUUGUUCGACCAUGUGAUUACGAGGGAUCUGAGGAGCUGCGACGCCGUAGGACUGAUGAAGAGAUUGACUGACAGUUCGUUUGUACAUAUAUAGCAGUAUCUGCACUGUUGACUGGUUCUGUGAUAUGUGAUGUGAACAUUUGUUGUGGUAGUACUUAAUAUAUCUAUAUGCAUCACUUAUUUUUCUAGGAGAGGUUAUGUCAAUAUUAGCAGAAAGCGUUGACAAAAUGAUACUCCCUCCAUCCCAAAAUGGAAGAUCAUUUUUGACACUAUGGGACGGCGGAUUUCUUUGCACUUUGACACAAAUGACACACACCUUGUGGCACUGACAAGUGGAUUCAGGUCCCACAUGUCAGUGAUACAAGACGUCUCAUUUGGAAUGUCUGUGGCGCAAGGCACGCCAUUUUGUCAAAGCAAGACAAAAGUAGAUAAUUUUGUUGAAUUCCCCGGAAAUUGAUCCAUCGUCUACGGUGUAGUGUGUGGUGUUUGUGUUUUGCAGUUACUUUAGUUAAAUGUAUGUAUUUUUGUUUUGAACUUUGGUCCUGCUAAUUCCAGUUAAUCUAGAGCAGAGCAGUCUAUGUAUGUACUCAC
rnacentral:rRNA from 1 species